rnacentral:rRNA from 1 species
GACGUAGGGUGCAAGCGUUGUCCGGAUUUAUUGGGCGUAAAGAGCUCGUAGGCGGCUUGUUGCGUCGACUGUGAAAACCCGCGGCUUAACCGCGGGCUUGCAGUCGAUACGGGCAGGCUAGAGUUCGGUAGGGGAGACUGGAAUUCCUGGUGUAGCGGUGAAAUGCGCAGAUAUCAGGAGGAACACCGGUGGCGAAGGCGGCAUCCUGGACCGAGACUGACGCUGAGGAGCGAAAGCGUGGGGAGCAAACAGG